GACGAACGCUGGCGGCGUGCCUAAUACAUGCAAGUUGAGCGCUGAAGGUUGGUACUUGUACCGACUGGAUGAGCAGCGAACGGGUGAGUAACGCGUGGGGAAUCUGCCUUUGAGCGGGGGACAACAUUUGGAAACGAAUGCUAAUACCGCAUAAAAACUUUAAACACAAGUUUUAAGUUUGAAAGAUGCAAUUGCAUCACUCAAAGAUGAUCCCGCGUUGUAUUAGCUAGUUGGUGAGGUAAAGGCUCACCAAGGCGAUGAUACAUAGCCGACCUGAGAGGGUGAUCGGCCAAAUUGGGAAUGAGACACGGCCCAAACUCCUAAGGGAGGCAGCAGGAGGGAAUCUUCGGCCAUGGACGAAAGGCUGACCGAGCAACGCCGCGGGAGGGAAGAAGGGUGUCGGAUCGGAAAACUCUGUUGGUAGAGAAGAACGUUGGUGAGAGUGGAAAGCUCAUCAAGUGACGGUAACUACUCAGAAAGGGACGGCUAACUACGUG
rnacentral:rRNA from 1 species